CACACUCACAUCCUCCCAGGCAGUCACUCGCACAUGCAGUCACACAUUCACUCACAGGCAGUCACACUCUCAUGCACUCAGUCACACCCUCACAUGCACACUCAUGCACACUCAUAUCCUCCCAUGCAGUCACACACUCUCACAUGCAGUCACACCCUCUCGUGCACACUCAGUGACACCUUCACAUGCAGUCACACCUGCACUGUCACACCCACACAUGCACACU
rnacentral:lncRNA from 1 species